rnacentral:rRNA from 1 species
UACGUAGGCGGAAUAUUAAGUCAGUGGUGGAAUCCUGCAGCUUAACUGUAGAAUUGCCAUUGAUACUGAUCUUCUUGAAUUUAGUUGAGGUGGGCGGAAUGUGUAAUGUAGCGGUGAAAUGCUUAGAUAUUACACAGAACACCGAUUGCGAAGGCAGCUCACUAAACUAACAUUGACGCUAAGGUACGAAAGCGUGGGGAGCGAACAGGAUUAGAUACCCUGGUAGUCC